rnacentral:lncRNA from 1 species
GCCCGCCUCGCCGCCUCCCCCACUUGGAAGUUGCAAAGCGAAGCCCACCAACCUCAAAAACCCAAACCCUAGCUCUCCUCGCCGCCAUCCCAUGGCGCGCCUCCACCUCGUGGUCGUGGCCAUGGCCGCGCUCUUCGCCGCCGCGGCGGUGGCGCAGGGCCCGAGCGCCUCCCCGACGCCGGCUCCGAAGGCGCAGCCACCGGUGGCGACCCCGCCGACUCGGCCGCCGGCCGUGGCGCCGGUGUCUCCUCCCGCCGCCCAGCCGCCAGUGACGACGCCUCCCCCGGUUUCCGCGCCCGCGCCCGUGCCCGCCCCGAGCGCCGCCGCGACACCGUCACCCCAGGCCUCGGCGCCGACCGCGGAGCCCCCCGUCCUCUCGCCGCCCGCGCCGGCUCCGGGGUCGAUCUCCCAGUCCCCGACGGAGGCCCCGACGUCUCCGCCGCCACCGAGCGCCGCGUCCGGAGUCUCCCCCUCCGCCGCCGCCGUCGUCGCCGCCUGGGCCGCCGUGGCAGCCGUCGCGGCGUUCUACUGAGAUCCGGCUCCCGGAGAUGAGUUCCUCGCCGCCGCCGAUAUCAUCACCGCCAUUACUGCCGUUAAUUUAUUAUUGUUAUUAUUAGCUAUUUCCCCCCUUCGCUCUGGGGUUGCUAAUCCCAUUGCGUUUUAAUCUAGAUCUAGCUUUUGUGAGUGAGAGAGAGACUGUGCUUGCCAUUGUAUAAUCCUCCCCCACCGGAUUCUUUUCUUUAAUCUACUUUCGGACAUUAUUAGUAGAGAUUUUGUCAUCCGAUUGCUCCUGCCUGCUUGAUCUGUUC